UACGUAGGGUGCAAGCGUUAAUCGGAAUUACUGGGCGUAAAGCGUGCGCAGGCGGUUCUGUAAGUCUGUCGUGAAAUCCCCGGGCUUAACCUGGGAAUUGCGAUGGAGACUGCAAGGCUAGAAUCUGGCAGAGGGGGGUAGAAUUCCACGUGUAGCAGUGAAAUGCGUAGAGAUGUGGAGGAACACCGAUGGCGAAGGCAAUCCCCUGGGCCUGCACUGACGCUCAUGCACGAAAGCGUGGGGAGCAAACAGG
rnacentral:rRNA from 1 species